GGUCCCUUCAAGCGAGCUUGGAGGUGAUAGGGAUGGAUCAUCAGGCGAGCAGGCUCGUUUGAUGGGGCCCUAGCGGCGGACGGGUGAGUAACGCGUGGGAACGUGCCCUUCACUGCGGGAUAGUCCCGGGAAACUGGGUUUAAUACCGCAUACGCCCCUUCGGGGGGAAAGAUUUAUCGGUGAGGGAUCGGCCCGCGUUGGAUUAGGUAGUUGGUGGGGUAAUGGCCUACCAAGCCGACGAUCCAUAGCUGGUUUGAGAGGAUGAUCAGCCACACUGGGACUGAGACACGGCCCAGACUCCUACGGGAGGCAGCAGUGGGGAAUCUUGGACAAUGGGGGCAACCCUGAUCCAGCCAUGCCGCGUGGACGAUGAAGGCCCUAGGGUUGUAAAGUCCUUUCGCCGGGGAAGAUAAUGACGGUACCCGGUAAAGAAGCCCCGGCUAACUCCGUGCCAGCAGCCGCGGUAAUACGGAGGGGGCUAGCGUUGUUCGGAAUUACUGGGCGUAAAGCGCGCGUAGGCGGAUCGUUAAGUCAGGGGUGAAAUCCCGGGGCUCAACCCCGGAACUGCCCUUGAUACUGGCGGUCUGGAGUCCGAGAGAGGUGAGUGGAAUUCCGAGUGUAGAGGUGAAAUUCGUAGAUAUUCGGAGGAACACCAGUGGCGAAGGCGGCUCACUGGCUCGGUACUGA
rnacentral:rRNA from 1 species